rnacentral:rRNA from 1 species
AUACGGAGGAUCCAAGCGUUAUCCGGAUUUAUUGGGUUUAAAGGGUGCGCAGGCGGAAGAUUAAGUCGGCGGUGAAAUUUUGCAGCUCAACUGUAAAAGUGCCAUCGAUACUGGUUUUCUUGAGUGUGGAUGAAGUAGGCGGAAUUUGUGGUGUAGCGGUGAAAUGCAUAGAUAUCACGAGGAACUCCGAUUGCGCAGGCAGCUUACUAGGCCAUAACUGACGCUCAGGCACGAAGGCGUGGGGAUCAAACAGGAUUAGAUACCCUGGUAGUCCACGCAGUAAACGAUGAUUACUCGCUGUUUGCGAUACACAGUAAGCGGCUUAGCGAAAGCGUUAAGUAAUCCACCUGGGGAGUACGUUCGCAAGAAUGAAACUCAAAUGAAUUGGCGGGG